GACAAACGCUGGCGGCAUGCCUAACACAUGCAAGUCGAACGGACAGAACAGGGAAGCUUUUCGGAGUGGAACUGGACAGUUAGUGGCGGAAGGGUGAGUAACGCGUGGACAACCUACCUUGUAAAGGGGAAUAACCUCGAGAAAUCGAAGCUAAUACCCCAUAAUACCCUUGCUUCGCAUGAAGUAAGGAUGAAAGGCGGCCUUAGCGCUGUCGAUACAAGAUUGGUCCGCGUCUGAUUAGCUAGUUGGUGAGGUAAAGGCUCACCAAGGCGACGAUCAGUAGCCGGCCUGAGAGGGUGAACGGCCACAUUGGGACUGAGACACGGCCCAAACUCCUACGGGAGGCAGCAGUGGGGAAUCUUCCGCAAUGGGCGAAAGCCUGACGGAGCAAUGCCGCGUGAGUGAAGAAGGCCUUCGGGUUGUAAAACUCUGUCCUUAUCGAAGAGAGAGUGUUGUAGUAACUGACAAUACUAGGACGGUAGAUGAGGAGGAAGCCCCGGCUAACUAUGUG
rnacentral:rRNA from 1 species